AUUGAACGCUGGCGGCAUGCCUUACACAUGCAAGUCGAACGGCAGCACGGGAGCAAUCCUGGUGGCGAGUGGCGAACGGGUGAGUAAUAUAUCGGAACGUGCCCAGUCGUGGGGGAUAACGCAGCGAAAGCUGUGCUAAUACCGCAUACGAUCUACGGAUGAAAGCGGGGGAUCGCAAGACCUCGCGCGAUUGGAGCGGCCGAUAUCAGAUUAGCUAGUUGGUGGGGUAAAGGCCCACCAAGGCGACGAUCUGUAGCUGGUCUGAGAGGACGACCAGCCACACCGGAACUGAGACACGGUCCAGACUCCUACGGGAGGCAGCAGUGGGGAAUUUUGGACAAUGGGCGCAAGCCUGAUCCAGCAAUGCCGCGUGCAGGAUGAAGGCCUUCGGGUUGUAAACUGCUUUUGUACGGAACGAAACGGCCCUUUCUAAUACAGGGGGCUAAUGACGGUACCGUAAGAAUAAGCACCGGCUAACUACGUGCCAGCCGCCGCGGUAACAC
rnacentral:rRNA from 1 species